CCUACGGGUGGCAGCAGUGAGGAAUAUUGGUCAAUGGGCGCGAGCCUGAACCAGCCAAGUAGCGUGAAGGAUGAAUGCCCUACGGGUUGUAAACUUCUUUAUAAAGGAAUAAAGUGAGGCACGUGUGCCUUUUUGUAUGUACUUUAUGAAUAAGGAUCGGCUAACUCCGUGCCAGCAGCCGCGGUAAUACGGAGGAUCCGAGCGUUAUCCGGAUUUAUUGGGUUUAAAGGGAGCGUAGAUGGGUUGGUAAGUCAGAUGUGAAAGUUUGCGGCUCAACCAUAAAAUUGCAAUUGAAACUGGGAGGCUUGAGUACAGGUGAGGUAGGCGGAAUUCGUGGUGUAGCGGUGAAAUGCUUAGAUAUCACGAAGAACUCCGAUUGCGAAGGCAGCUUACUAAACUGCCACUGACAUUGAUGCUCGAAAGUGUGGGUAUCAAACAGGAUUAGAUACCCCUGUAGUC
rnacentral:rRNA from 1 species